UACGUAGGGUGCGAGCGUUAAUCGGAAUCACUGGGCGUAAAGGGUGCGUAGGCGGGUCUUUAAGUCAGAGGUGAAAUCCUGGAGCUCAACUCCAGAACUGCCUUUGAUACUGAGGAUCUUGAGUUCGGAAGAGGUGAGUGGAACUGCGAGUGUAGAGGUGAAAUUCGUAGAUAUUCGCAAGAACACCAGUGGCGAAGGCGGCUCACUGGUCCGAUACUGACGCUGAGGCACGAAAGCGUGGGGAGCAAACAGG
rnacentral:rRNA from 1 species